AAAGUUAUCAAAUUUGCAAAACCCAGCCAACCCGAUAAAGUUAGAAAUUUGGGAAAACACUGUCACUUCCUCUAAUUUUGCCCUAACCCAUUUGCAUUUUCCGAAAACCUUCAACAAAGCCAAAGUUGAGCCAUUUCUUCAUCUUUGUUCAUCAAAGGUGCAAUAUUUUGAAGGUUUCUGGAAACCGAAGUGGAGCUUCCUCUUCCUUUUGGAUUAAUCGCAGAGGGGUGCAUCAAACAGCAAGUUCCUCAACUAUUUAAACAAACACAUACUACCUGUUUUUGAUAAGGACCAAGAUAGUGAGUUGAAAGGGUUAUAGAAGAGUCUUCUGAUUUGAUUUGGGGAUGAAGUGUUGAAUUUAAAUGGUUUUCUGCUAGUACCGUUAUUAUUAAUUUUUCCUAAAAAAAUGUGAAGAAGAAGAUAGGAUUACUCCUUGAAGGUGGAAAUUCGUACCAACAUAAAUGGUCUUCUUCUUCACCUUUUUUGAGG